AAUCCGCAGUUGAGAGGCGAUCGGGCUUCAGUCUAGUUGCGGACGUCGCCACGAGAGAGUACACGCCCGCCGCGCUCUCGCUUCGUGCUCUUUGACUCUUUGAUUGCGAGCGCGUCCGUUUUCCGUACGUCCGUCCGUCCGGCCGGCUUGUUUCGGCCUGUUUUUCUCUCUCUUUCUCUCUCUUUUUUUUCUGUUUCUCUCUCUGGCUCUCUGUUUUUCUUGCUCUUUCUUUUCUCUGCUUCGCCCGUAUCGUCGGUCGUCGUCUCCGUCUGCGUCAACUCCUUCGGUUCUCCUUCAUUCCAUCAGGAUCCAUCAGUCGAAGUUUUAAAAAAAUCUGCCAUCGGAUUUUGUUCGGAAAGAAUUUCGUCCCCUUGCGAGUGAACAGGAGCCAUGGCGAACCCUCAGGAAAAACGACUGUGCCAAAAGAGCUAUCGUAGACAUCGCUUCACCUCUACCCGUGCCCCAUGUCACCCGCGACCGUACGGCUUUCGGGCGCGCGGAGGGGCAGCGAGGGCGUGUGUGUAGGAAAAGCGACCUCGCUUGUGGAAGUCUACGGGUUUAGCGCGCCGCAUUUGACCACUCCGGCCUGCCCUUACCAUCUCGGUGUGGCAAGACCAUGCAAGCAAGCAAGCAAGCAAGUCAGCCACGUCACCACAGAGGCCAUCAUCACCCCCUUCCCCCUUCCUCCCCCUACUCCUCCCUGCGUUGCAAGAGACCCCCUGCAACGCGUCCCCCCUUUCGCCUCCCCCCGUGCCAGAUGGACGUGGGGUAGACUGAAAAGGGGGGUAGAGAGAGAGAGAGAGAGAGUAGAAGGGUGAGGGGAGGGGGGCCGAGUAGAGAGGUGUGGCAGGACCUAACUGUUGCACGUAAUCACCACUAAUGCAGAUCAGAUUUCAUAACGAAGAAGAAGAUGAGAAGAAGAGAAACAAGAGGAAGGAAGACCUACCCC
rnacentral:lncRNA from 1 species